UUGAGCCGUGUGGCUGGAAACUGCCACGCACGGUUCUUAAACUGACAUUCCGCACCCUGUUUUUAUAAAUAGCUGUAAUUUUAAUAUUUCAU
rfam:Desulfobacterales bacterium RIFOXYA12_FTLL_46_15 rifixya3_full_scaffold_2860, whole genome shotgun sequence.